rnacentral:rRNA from 1 species
GAUACCCCAGGUCAGGGCGGGGCUACCCGCCGAGUUUAAGCAUAUCAAUAAGCGGAGGA